AACGAACGCUGGCGGCAUGCCUAACACAUGCAAGUCGAACGAGACCUUCGGGUCUAGUGGCGCACGGGUGGGUAACGCGUGGGAACCUGCCCUUAGGUUCGGAAUAACUCCCCGAAAGGGGUGCUAAUACCGGAUAAUGUCUUCGGACCAAAGAUUUAUCGCCUUUGGAUGGGCCCGCGUUGGAUUAGCUAGUUGGUAGGGUAAAAGCAUACCAAGGCGACGAUCCAUAGCUGGUCUGAGAGGAUGAUCAGCCACACUGGGACUGAGACACGGCCCAGACUCCUACGGGAGGCAGCAGUGGGGAAUAUUGGACAAUGGGCGAAAGCCUGAUCCAGCAAUGCCGCGUGAGUGAUGAAGGCCUUAGGGUUGUAAAGCUCUUUUACCCGGGAUGAUAAUGACAGUACCGGGAGAAUAAGCUCCGGCUAACUCCGUG
rnacentral:rRNA from 1 species